rnacentral:rRNA from 1 species
AGAGUUUGAUCCUGGCUCAGGAUGAACGCUAGCGGCAGGCUUAACACAUGCAAGUCGAGGGGCAGCAUGUCCAGCAAUGGAUGAUGGCGACCGGCGGAAGGGUGCGUAACGCGUGAGCAACAUGCCCUAUACAGGGAGAUACACCAGGGAAACUUGGUCUAAUAUCCCAUAGCAUUCAUUGAAGGCAUCUUUAAUGAAUUAAAGCUUCGGUGGUAUAGGAUUGGCUCGCGUGACAUUAGCCAGAUGGUGAGGUAACGGCUCACCAUAGCAAUGAUGUCUAGGGGUUUUGAGAGGAAGGCCCCCCACACUGGGACUGAGACACGGCCCAGACUCCUACGGGAGGCAGCAGUGAGGAAUAUUGGACAAUGGAUGGAAAUCUGAUCCAGCCAUGCCGCGUGCAGGAAGACGGCCUUAUGGGUUGUAAACUGCUUUUAUACGGGAGCAAUAAGGGUUACGAGUAAUCCGAUGAGAGUACUGUAUGAAUAAGGAUCGGCUAACUCCGUGCCAGCAGCCGCGGUAAUACGGAGGAUCCGAGCGUUAUCCGGAAUUAUUGGGUUUAAAGGGUGCGUAGGCGGCCAUUUAAGUCAGCGGUGAAAUUUUGCAGCUUAACUGUAACAGUGCCGUUGAUACUGUUUGGCUAGGAUUUGGUUGUAGUGUGCGGAAUGUGUGGUGUAGCGGUGAAAUGCUUAGAUAUCACACAGAACACCGAUUGCGAAGGCAGCACACUAAGUCAUUAUUGACGCUGAGGCACGAAAGUGUGGGGAUCAAACAGGAUUAGAUACCCUGGUAGUCCACACUGUAAACGAUGAUAACUCGCUGUCGGCGAUACACAGUCGGUGGCCAAGCGAAAGCAUUAAGUUAUCCACCUGGGGAGUACGACCGCAAGGUUGAAACUCAAAGGAAUUGACGGGGGCCCGCACAAGCAGUGGAGUAUGUGGUUUAAUUCGACGCAACGCGAAGAACCUUACCAGGUUUUGACAUCCAAGGAAUCGGUAGUAAUUUACUGAGUGCCCUUCGGGGAAUCUUGAGACAGGUGGUGCAUGGUUGUCGUCAGCUCGUGUCGUGAGAUGUUGGGUUAAGUCCCGCAACGAGCGCAACCCCUACGGUUAGUUGCUACGCAAGAGCACUUUAGCCGGACUGCCGUUGACAAAACGGAGGAAGGUGGGGAGGACGUCAAAUCAUCAUGCCCCUUAAGACCUGGGCUACACACGUACUACAAUGGCGCAAACAAAGGGAAGCGAGGCCGCGAGGCGGAGCGAAACUCAUAAAAGGCGCCCCAGUUCGGAUUGCAGGCUGAAACUCGCCUGCAUGAAGUCGGAAUUGCUAGUAAUCGCGGAUCAGCAUGCCGCGGUGAAUACGUUCCCGGGCUUUGUACACACCGCCCGUCAAG